AGAUGGCGACCGGCGCACGGGUGAGUAACACGUAUCCAACCUGCCGAUAACUCCGGAAUAGCCUUUCGAAAGAAAGAUUAAUACCGGAUGGCAUACGAAUAUCGCAUGAUAUUUUUAUUAAAGAAUUUCGGUUAUCGAUGGGGAUGCGUUCCAUUAGUUUGUUGGCGGGGUAACGGCCCACCAAGACUACGAUGGAUAGGGGUUCUGAGAGGAAGGUCCCCCACAUUGGAACUGAGACACAGUCCAA
rnacentral:rRNA from 1 species